rnacentral:lncRNA from 1 species
CUAGACCAUUUCAGGUCAGGUUAGAGAGAACAUUAGAUAGUGGUUCGGCUCAAGCUUAAUUAUAUUUCUGUUGAGCCAAGGCUCUAUCGAAAACAUCUUUUUUUAAAAUAAAAUUUACGUAUAUAUUAUCAUCCUCCCUAUAUUGAUUUUGCUUGCGAUACAACAACAACAACAACAACAACUCAGUAUAAUCCCAAUUAGUGGGGUUUGAGGAGGGUAGUAUGUACGCAGACAUUACCUAUACCCUGGGGUAAGUUUCCAAAUAGACCCUCGGCAUCCUUCCUUCCAAGAACUUUCCACCUUGCUCUUGGGGAGACUCGAACUCACAACCUCUCGGUUGGAAGUGGGGGUUGCUUACCACCAGAUUUCCAAAUAGACCCUCGGCAUCCUUCCUUCCAAGAACUUUCCACCUUGCUCUUGGGGAGACUCGAACUCACAACCUCUCGGUUGGAACCAUCAGAGCAGCCCCUCUUCUCUAUUGGUUCUGCUUGCGAUAUUACACUAAAUAUGUUAUUGAAAGGGAUCAGCAAUGUCUCAUAUUCGACAUGAAAAAGUUGUGCCCCUUUUGUUUAAUCAGAAUGAAUUGCAUUUGUUGGACAUGCCAGAAUUUGCUAGGCAGCGUAGCAUGUAUUCUUCCGAAUUUGUCGUGCAGUGAAAUGUGUCUGUAUGUUCCAGCGAUUUGAUAGUGUAAAAAUAUUCAUGGCAACAUUUUUACGAAUUUAAGCUUUUGAAAUAAUGUUUUGGCAAUAGAAAUAAUAUUUUGAAAUUAUUGUGUGGUAAAA